rnacentral:rRNA from 1 species
UGGGGAAUUGUUCGCAAUGGGCGCAAGCCUGACGACGCAACGCCGCGUGGAGGAUGAAGGUCUUCGGAUUGUAAACUCCUGUUGCCCGGGACGAAUGGCUCCGACCUAACACGUCGGAGAUUGACGGUACCGGGUGAGGAAGCCCCGGCUAACUCUGUGCCAGCAGCCGCGGUAAUACAGAGGGGGCAAGCGUUGUUCGGAAUUACUGGGCGUAAAGGGCGCGUAGGCGGCCUGCUAAGUCGAACGUGAAAUCCCCGAGCUCAACUCGGGAACUGCGUCCGAUACUGGCAGGCUUGAAUCCGGGAGAGGGAUGUGGAAUUCCAGGUGUAGCGGUGAAAUGCGUAGAUAUCUGGAGGAACACCGGUGGCGAAGGCGACAUCCUGGACCGGCAUUGACGCUGAGGCGCGAAAGCCAGGGGGAGCGAAACGGGAUUAGAUACCCCGGUAGUCCUGGCCCUAAACGAUGAAUGCUUGGUGUGGCGGGUAUCGAUCCCUGCCGUGCCGAAGCUAACG